rnacentral:rRNA from 1 species
UACGUAGGGUGCAAGCGUUAUCCGGAAUUAUUGGGCGUAAAGAGCUCGUAGGCGGCUUGUCACGUCGGGUGUGAAAGACCGGGGCUUAACUCCGGUUCUGCAUUCGAUACGGGCUAGCUAGAGUGUGGUAGGGGAGAUCGGAAUUCCUGGUGUAGCGGUGAAAUGCGCAGAUAUCAGGAGGAACACCGGUGGCGAAGGCGGAUCUCUGGGCCAUUACUGACGCUGAGGAGCGAAAGCGUGGGGAGCGAACAGG